UCACCAGGCAGAUAGAAAGUUGGAAACCAG
rnacentral:piRNA from 1 species